rnacentral:rRNA from 1 species
GACGAACGCUGGCGGCGUGCUUAACACAUGCAAGUCGAACGGAGAGGCCCUGCUUUUGUGGGGUGCUCGAGUGGCGAACGGGUGAGUAACACGUGAGUAACCUGCCCUUGACUUUGGGAUAACUUCAGGAAACUGGGGCUAAUACCGGAUAGGAGCUCCUGUUGCAUGGUGGGGGUUGGAAAGUUUCGGCGGUUGGGGAUGGACUCGCGGCUUAUCAGCUUGUUGGUGGGGUAGUGGCUUACCAAGGCUUUGACGGGUAGCCGGCCUGAGAGGGUGACCGGCCACAUUGGGACUGAGAUACGGCCCAGACUCCUACGGGAGGCAGCAGUGGGGAAUAUUGCACAGUGGGCGGAAGCCUGAUGCAGCAACGCCGCGUGCGGGAUGACGGCCUUCGGGUUGUAAACCGCUUUCGCCUGUGACGAAGCGUGAGUGACGGUAAUGGGUAAAGAAGCACCGGCUAACUACGUG